AUGGCCGACGCGGGUGAACGUGUAGUAUCUGUUGUUAUCAGCUUAAUAUCUGAUACUUCUUCUACUUAAGACACCAGAUAUUAAGCUCAUUUUUUUUUUUUUUUUUGCAAGUUGGCGGAGUGCUUGAAGCCUGGUUCACCUACGCCGCUUGUCGGCCAGGUAUUGCACUAUCUCCGGGAUCGGUCCACAGUUU